AUGCUCCCCUCGGCAGCACAUAUACUAAAAUUGGAAUGAUACAGAGAUUAGCAUGGCCCCUGGGCAAGGGUGACAUGCAACCCAGCAGAUUCUCCCUACGGUCUG
ensembl:snRNA U6 U6 spliceosomal RNA